rnacentral:rRNA from 1 species
ACGCACGCUGGCGGCGUGCUUCACCCCUGCCAGUCGAACGGAAAGGCCCUGCUUUUGUGGGGUGCUCGAGUGGCGAACGGGUGAGUAGCACGUGAGUAACCUGCCCUUGACUUUGGGAUAACUUCAGGAAACUGGGGCUAAUACCGGAUAGGAGCUCCUGCUGCAUGGUGGGGGUUGGAAAGUUUCGGCGGUUGGGGAUGGACUCGCGGCUUAUCAGCUUGUUGGUGGGGUAGUGGCUUACCAAGGCUUUGACGGGUAGCCGGCCUGAGAGGGUGACCGGCCACAUUGGGACUGAGAUACGGCCCAGACUCCUACGGGAGGCAGCAGUGGGGAAUAUUGCACAAUGGGCGGAAGCCUGAUGCAGCAACGCCGCGUGCGGGAUGACGGCCUUCGGGUUGUAAACCGCUUUCGCCUGUGACGAAGCGUGAGUGACGGUAAUGGGUAAAGAAGCACCGGCUAACUACGUG